AGCUGCGCGGUGAGCACAAAGCGAACUAUUCUUUCGCCUUUUACUAAAGAAUACCGUGUGCGCGCCGCAAAUAGCAGCAUACGAUAAUUUUUGAGGGGAUCCCUCAUUCAGAAGGGCC
rnacentral:snRNA from 1 species